rnacentral:rRNA from 1 species
GACGAACGCUGGCGGCGUGCUUAACACAUGCAAGUCGAACGGAAAGGCCCUGCUUUUGUGGGGUGCUCGAGUGGCGAACGGGUGAGUAACACGUGAGUAACCUGCCCUUGACUUUGGGAUAACUUCAGGAAACUGGGGCUAAUACCGGAUAGGAGCUCCUGCUGCAUGGUGGUGGUUGGAAAGUUUCGGCGGUUGGGGAUGGACUCGCGGCUUAUCAGCUUGUUGGUGGGGUAGUGGCUUACCAAGGCUUUGACGGGUAGCCGGCCUGAGAGGGUGACCGGCCACAUUGGGACUGAGAUACGGCCCAGACUCCUACGGGAGGCAGCAGUGGGGAAUAUUGCACAAUGGGCGGGAGCCUGAUGCAGCAACGCCGCGUGCGGGAUGACGGCCUUCGGGUUGUAAACCGCUUUCGCCUGUGACGAAGCGUGAGUGACGGUAAUGGGUAAAGAAGCACCGGCUAACUACGUG